AGUUUUCGAUCCUGCUCAGGAUGAACGGCUGGCGGCGUGCUUAACACAUGCAAGUCGAACGAGCAUUAACUUUGAAUUCUAACGGAUGAAGAGUUGAUACUUAGUGGCGGACGGGUGAGUAACGCGUGGAUAACCCUGCCCCAUACCGGGGGAGUAACAGCCGGAAACGGCUGCUAAUACCGCAUAAGCGCACGGGAAUGCAUGUUCUGUGUGAAAAACUCCGUGGUAUGGGAUGGAUCCGCGUCUGAUUAGCUGGUUGGCGGGGUAGAGGCCCACCCAAGGCGACGAUCAGUAGCCGACCUGAGAGGGUGGCCGGCCACAUUGGGACUGAGACACGGCCCAGACUCCUACGGGGGGCAGCAGUGGGGAAUAUUGCACAAUGGGGGAAACCCUGAUGCAGCGACGCCGCGUGAGUGAAGAAGUAUUUCGGUAUGUAAAGCUCUAUCAGCAGGGAAGAGAAUGACGGUACCUGAGUAAGAAGCCCCGGCUAACUACGUG
rnacentral:rRNA from 1 species